rnacentral:rRNA from 1 species
UAAGUCAGAGCUGAAAUCCUAUGGCUUAACCAUAGAACUGGCUUUGAUACUGUUGAUCUUGAGUAUGGUAGAGGUAGGCGGAAUUUAUGAUGUAGCGGUGAAAUGCAUAGAUAUCAUAAAGAACACCGAUAGCGAAGGCAGCUUGCUGGACCAUAACUGACGCUAAUGUACGAAAGUGCGGGUAUCGAACAGGAUUAGAUACCCUGGUAGUCCGCACCGUAAACGAUGCUCACUCGCUGUUGGCGAUAAACAGUCAGCGGCCAAGCGAAAGCGUUAAGUGAGCCACCUGGGGAGUACGACCGCAAGGUUGAAACUCAAAGGAAUUGACGAGGGUCCGCACAAGCGGUGGAGCAUGUGGUUUAAUUCGAUGAUACGCGAGGAACCUUACCUGGGCUCGAAUGCGUCUGCAUAGACUAGAGAUAGUCUUUUCCUUCGGGACUGACUGCAAGGUGCUGCAUGGCU